rnacentral:lncRNA from 1 species
GGAAGAAGAUCUUAGAUGACCAUGAAUGAAGAAUGCCUCUCGUCUUAAGACGAACAAAGCAAAAACCCUUGGUCACCUAAGAGGCAUGGAAUAACCCCAUAAAAGGAUCCUUGAAGUCCUAAAAGCGUCAAAUCAGAUCGAAGACCUUGGAUGACCAUGAGCAAAGAAUGCACCUCAUCUUAAGAUGAGCAGAGUAGAAAUCCUUUGUUUCCCAAGAAGCAAGAGGAAAUCCCAUAAAAGGACUCUCGAGGCCUUAAAAGUGUCAAAUCAGGUCGAAGACCUCAAGACC